ensembl:lncRNA
AUGAGUGCUGCAAUCCAUCCAUGUGGAUGGAUGGAUUUCAGUGUUGAGUCCUUUGUGCCAGAGCUUCCCACUGCAUUUCAGACCUGGUUACAGGAAACUUGUCUGAUGGAGGAAAACAAAGUUCUGUUUCCCUUCCCAUUCCUCCUGACUCUAAGCAGCAUCACACCAUGUUCUUCCUGCCUGGCUGACACAAGAGCAAUGCCAGUACGGGCCAGUGCUAAAAGACCAGAUCUCUUAAGGGAUGCAAAGAACUUGGAAACUGUGCUGAUGGACAUCGUAGACACAGAAAGUGGUGCCCUCUGCACUGACCACGGAGCGGAGUUCAGUGAGAUGGGUUAUGUCAGGAGAAUCUUCAGUCUUACAAUUGUCUCCCAAUAAACUACUUCUACACUCCCUGAGACAGGAAGAAAUCUAUAGUGAAAUAAGCUUGUAGGAGCAGCACUAUAAAUCCACGGCAUAAGGAAAAAUGGUUCUUUGACUUCCUUCACAAUAUAACAUCAUGUCAAAAAUAGACUUGAGAUCCUGUUAUUUAUAUUACUGAAGUACUGAAUGGCCUUGCCUGAGAACAGGCUGUUCCAGCAUUAACUGGAGUGCUGUGUUUCAAUGGGAGAUGGUCUGUGCCAUGAAGAACUGACACGUGAGGUAAACAAGAAGGACAAGGAGUCUUCUGACAGCUGGAGCAGCCCACGACCACCAGCUGGAAGUGGUGAAGUACAAGUGGCAAAUCUAAGCCAUUUUCCAAGGUAUCCUACAG